CAGUAGCCACGGUAAUACGAAGGGGGCUAGCGUUGUUCGGAUUUACUGGGCGUAAAGCGCACGUAGGCGGACUUUUAAGUCAGGGGUGAAAUCCCGGGGCUCAACCCCGGAACUGCCUUUGAUACUGGAAGUCUUGAGUAUGGUAGAGGUGAGUGGAAUUCCGAGUGUAGAGGUGAAAUUCGUAGAUAUUCGGAGGAACACCAGUGGCGAAGGCGGCUCACUGGACCAUUACUGACGCUGAGGUGCGAAAGCGUGGGGAGCAAACAGGAUUAGAUACCCGCGUAGUCCCUGUCUCUUAUAC
rnacentral:rRNA from 1 species